rnacentral:rRNA from 1 species
CCUACGGGAGGCAGCAGUGAGGAAUAUUGGUCAAUGGGCGUAAGCCUGAACCAGCCAAGUCGCGUGAGGGAUGAAGGUUCUAUGGAUCGUAAACCUCUUUUAUAAGGGAAUAAAGUGCGGGACGUGUCCCGUUUUGUAUGUACCUUAUGAAUAAGAGUCGGCUAACUCCGUACCAGCAGCCCCGGUAAUACGGAGGAUCCGAGCGUUAUCCGGAUUUAUUGGGUUUAACGGGUGCGUAGGCGGCCUUUUAAGUCAGCGGUGAAAGUCUGUGGCUCAACCAGAGAAUUGCCGUUGAAACUGGAAGGCUGGAGUAUGUGUGAGGCAGGUGGAAUGCGUGGUGUAGCGGUGAAAUGCUUAGAGAUCACGCAGAACCCCGAUGGCGAAGGCAGCCUGCCAGGCCAUGACUGACGCUGAUGCACGAAAGCGUGGGGAUCAAACAGGAUUAGAUACCCGGGUAGUC